GCACCAAGUUUUUUAAUUUGUAAAGUUAAUUUCAAACCUGUAGGUUAUUAUCCGCAAUUAGUGCGCUUUAUCUCAACUUUGAUCAGGUCGUUGAUGUAUAUCACUAGUUACUUUACCUAACAGAGUCAGAAAGACAGAAAAAAGACACAGCAAGCUGGAGCCUUUAUGCAUUUGAUGACUUGGUGAUGAUCGUCGGUAAAAAAGAGCUACGUGUAAAGGAUGAAGGGUUUCUCAUUUAUGAAAACGUGGUGCCCCUUCUUUGUGUAUAUUGCUGGCAAAACUCAUGAAUUUUAGCACUGAAUGCAUAUACACCGAACGUGGGCCUUAAUAUGUACAUGUUUUGAUGCAUGCUUUUUUGAGAUAUUAAUUAGUUGGAUGCUAAUCAGUCUAACCCUCAUGAGCAUAACACAGAUUUGCACUUCUCUUUAUCUGCAUUGACUAAACUCCUGCUUUGUGGCAAUGAGACACACAAAAAGGGAGAUGAGGAAAAUAGUUUCGGAAAGAAGUAGGUGGACAUCUAUUGGCCAAUACAGAUUAAGUUGGAGGUAGAGAGCCUAGAGGGAUGUGGCAAAUCCUUUGCCAGGGAUAUAUUUUCUGGUGCCAAAAAAGAUGACGCCCAUGUGGGACUGGGAAUAAUAUGCUUUUAGAUAGAAUAGAAUUGUGUUUACAGUACUAAACUUCUGCCAUAUUAGCUAGAUUUGUAGUAAAGAUAAAACUGCAUGAAGCAUCUCGAAUCGUACUGAGUGAACCCUGCAAAUUAGCAAUUGAGGCAACAACAUAUCUCAGAAGCAGAUGGUGCAGAAUUUCAAAAAGAGUUGGUCUAGAAUUCAAGAGUCAUUACGCACAAGGUUCGCCACAAAACUCCAUCUUUCUCCUUUGUGAUGAUGAGAUUCUGAAGAGCAGUAGUUGCCUUUUUCUAUUUUAUUUUGGAGAAGACCACUAAGUUGGCAUAUAUACCACAAUGCCUUUUCCACUUUGUGAUAUAAUCAUUGACUAGCAAGAACAUGAUCUAUCUGAUAUGUAUUAUGCACCAAGAGAUUGCCACGAGCUCUGUCUUGGUUUAUCCCUUUUCAAUCAUGAACAUGAACAUGUACCCUUUUUUAGUU